rnacentral:rRNA from 1 species
GGUAUUUUGACUAUACAAAGGUAUUGUAAUAAGACUUUAAUUGAGUGCUAAAAGAAUGGAAUUACAAAAAAAGGCUUUUUUAAUUUUAAAAAUUAAAAUUAUUUUUUUUUGUGAAGAAACAAAAAUUUAAAUUAAAGACAAGAAGACCCUAAGAAUUUUUUUUUUUAUUAAAAUAAUAUUUUAUUUUAAAAAUUUAAUUGGGGCGAUUAAUUAAUAUUAAAAACUUUAUUAAUAAAAAAAAUGAUCCAUUAUUAAUGAUUAUUUGAUUAAAAUACUCUAGGGAUAACAGCGUAAUAAUUUUUGAUAGUUCUUAUAGAAAAAAUAGUUUGCGACCCCGAUGUUGGAUUAGGAUUCUUUUUUAAUGAAAAAGUUAAAAAAAAAAGUUUGUUCAACUUUUAAAUUCCU